UCUUGUCUAUAUUUUUCUAGUUCUUUAGAUUGUUUCUUAUUAAAUCCUGAAGCCUCAAUCAUGAUAUCCAAAUUAUUUUCCUUUUCCAUUUUCGAUAUGUCUUCGAAAUUAGGAACAUCACCUUUGUAUUGAUAGUUUUUUUCAAAAUAUUGCACAAUGCACUGUACGUCUCUAUCAAAAUAAAAUUGCGCAUCAGGAUGACUAGUAGAUACCAUUUGCGGAAAAUCAAUUACAACAGCUGUUCCAUCUUCACGAACAAUGAUGUUAAAUUCGUUGAAAUCACCAUGUAUUAACCCAUUCCUUGCAAAUCGAACGAUAAUAUCCAUUAAUGUCUGAUAUAGAGCAGGUGGAUCACGAAUGUCAGUAACAGCACGAAGAGGAAACGCAUCAAUCAUUUCCAUGAUAAUACAAUGCCUGGAAUGAUCAAUUGGAGCAGGUACAGGGAAACCAUGCUCAUGCAAGAUCUUCAUAAAAGCAAAUUCUUUUGUGGCAGCUAAUCGAGACAGAUACUGCCAUGAUCCAGUUUUACGAUUUCUCAAAUAAUCUCUAUUGUUUUUUACACUCCGGAAAGAUAUACGCCCAAGCCUGUGGAUUUUUAAGAUAUAUUGCUUUCCUUUUUGGUCUCCUACGACGUAGACAUCAGAUUCUUUACCGACGCCUAUUUGAUUACCGACAGAGUAAACGGAUGCUCUCUUUGACAAGGCCUUCAAUGCCAAGUAAUCAUAUCCCGCAUAUGUUAGUCGAUAGCCCUCAUAGCUGAUAUGCGGCACCUUUGCAAUUAAUUUAUGCAUAAACAAAACGGACAAUGAUUUCGUACAAGAGCCACCGCGUAUUUUAGCAAUUUGAUUAAUCAUAUUCGUUGGAACAACUUCAUGAUUACGGCUUCCCAUUUCUACCUAUAACUUGUUAGU